rnacentral:rRNA from 1 species
AUGCGUCCGGCCAUCCUCGCCGCCCUCCUCCUCCUUCUCGCCGCCGCGGCCUCCCCGGCGGCCGCACUCUACUCCGCCGGCUCCCCGGUCCUCCAGCUCAACCCCAACAACUUCAAGAAGGUGUUGAACGCGAACGGGGUGGUGCUGGUGGAGUUCUUCGCGCCGUGGUGCGGGCACUGUAAGCAGCUGACGCCGAUUUGGGAGAAGGCCGCCGGCGUCCUCAAGGGCGUCGCCACAGUCGCCGCGCUCGACGCCGACGCCCACAAGGAGCUCGCGCAGCAAUAUGGAAUACGGGGAUUCCCAACCAUAAAAGUGUUUCUCCCUGGCAAGCCACCAGUGGAUUAUGAAGGCGCAAGAGAUGUAAAGCCAAUUGUAAAUUUUGCUCUGUCGCAGGUCAAAGGUCUUCUCAGAGAUAGGUUGGAUGGUAAGACAUCAGGAGGUUCAAGUGGAAAAACCUCUGGUGGCUCAAGUGAGAAGAAACAUGAACCAAAUGAAUCAGUAGAAUUGAAUUCGAGUAACUUUGACGAACUUGUCGUCAAAAGCAAGGAUCUUUGGAUUGUGGAGUUCUUUGCACCGUGGUGUGGGCACUGCAAGAAAUUGGCUCCUGAAUGGAAAAGGGCUGCAAAGAACUUGAAAGGUCAAGUGAAAUUAGGCCAUGUUGAUUGUGACUCUGAUAAGUCCUUGAUGAGCAAGUACAAGGUAGAAGGCUUUCCAACUAUUUUGGUAUUUGGUGCCGAUAAGGAGAGCCCGUUCCCCUACCAGGGGGCUAGAGCUGCUUCGGCUAUCGAGUCCUUCGCGUUGGAGCAGCUGGAAGCGAAUGCUGCACCCCCUGAAGUUUCUGAAUUGACUAGCGCAGAUGUGAUGGAAGAGAAGUGUGCUUCUGCUGCCAUUUGCUUUGUGUCUUUCCUUCCAGACAUUCUGGACUCAAAGGCAGAAGGAAGAAACAAGUACCUUGAGCUGCUACUUUCUGUUGCUGAGAAAUUUAAGAAGAGUCCAUACAGUUUUGUCUGGGCAGGUGCCGGCAAGCAAGCUGAUCUGGAGAAGCAGGUCGGAGUCGGUGGUUAUGGUUAUCCAGCCAUGGUUGCUCUCAACGUGAAGAAAGGCGCAUACGCUCCGCUUCGUAGCGCCUUCGAGCUCGCCGAAAUCACCGAGUUUGUGAAGGAGGCGGGGCGCGGCGGAAAGGGCAACCUUCCUCUGGAGGGCGCCCCCACGGUGGUCCAGUCGGAACCAUGGGACGGCAAGGACGGAGAGGUCAUCGAGGAGGACGAGUUCUCGCUCGAGGAGCUCAUGGCCGACAGCUCUCCACCCAACGACGAGUUGUGA